rnacentral:snoRNA from 1 species
UGCUGUGAUGAUUCUUCGUGCUUUGCACGCUGGAAAUUACCGACUGAAAUAUCAUGUCGAAAACAAAUGGCUAAACCUGAGC